CCGUCCCGCGAACCCUAAGUGCUGUGAAUUGCGAUGCCCCCUCCCUCUGUCUCCUUUAUCGUAGCAGGCCCCGAUUGAUAGUGAUUGAACUUGUUGGGGACCCAAAUUUUACUGAUUCUGUGGAGGCGUCAAAUUCAAUGCCUACUUGCACUACACCCAAUGUUAAUUAAAGACUAAAGAGGAGAAGAACUGGGAGCACCAAACUAUGUUGUCCCAUUUUUGUCACCAAAUUCCACUGGGAAAGCUAUAUUAUAUAGUGUAAAUUACACAUCAGGAGGAGGAGUCAUAAAUGCAACUGGAAGAAUAUUUGUCAGCCCUUAGAAGUU